rnacentral:rRNA from 1 species
AACGCGAAGAACCUUACCAGCCCUUGACAUCCCGGUCGCGGGUUCCAGAGAUGGGACCCAUCAGUUCGGCUGGACCGGUGACAGGUGCUGCAUGGCUGUCGUCAGCUCGUGUCGUGAGAUGUUGGGUUAAGUCCCGCAACGAGCGCAACCCUCGCCUCUAGUUGCCAGCAUUGAGUUGGGCACUCUAGAGGGACUGCCGGUGAUAAGCCGCGAGGAAGGUGGGGAUGACGUCAAGUCCUCAUGGCCCUUACGGGCUGGGCUACACACGUGCUACAAUGGCGGUGACAGUGGGACGCGGAGGGGUGACCCCGAGCAAAUCUCAAAAAGCCGUCUCAGUUCAGAUUGCACUCUGCAACUCGAGUGCAUGAAGGUGGAAUCGCUAGUAAUCGUAGAUCAGCAUGCUACGGUGAAUACGUUCCCGGGCCUUGUA